UGCUGUCUGACACUAUGUGGACCUACUCCCUGCUUAUAUAGCCAAAAUGUUAAAAUCUCAAACAUCUGUUUGAAUUGGGAUUUCUGGUUUGGAGAUAUAAAAUCUGGUCAGCAAGAUGUGCAAUUCUCUGCAAUGUCUGAGAAAUUGCAAAAGUUUGAGGGGACAUCACUUCAAGUGGAAAUUGCCUCUGCACGUCAGACAUACUAUUUAAUCACUGGCAGGCUGGUGCUUCGAUUUGUUGCUGCUGACAAUGCUAGCAUUUUCAUUCAUUUAGGCACCACUUUUGUCUUGGUAUUUACGGAAUCUCUAAUAAACAAUACGGACCCCAACCCUACAAUUGCAGUAGUGUGUGAUUUAUUAAAUUAAGUAUUUCCAAUUUUGCCGCAAAAAUGCACUGU
rnacentral:lncRNA from 1 species